rnacentral:sRNA from 1 species
GCUGGGUCGGGUGAUGCAUACCUGUAAUCCUAGCACUGGGGAGGCUGAGGCAGGAGGAUUUCGAAUUCAAAGCCAGCCUCAGCAACUCAGCAACUCAGCAAGGCCCUAAUCAACUCAGGGAGACCCUGUCUCUA